rnacentral:rRNA from 1 species
GAUGAACGCUGGCGGCGUGCCUAAUACAUGCAAGUCGAGCGAACGGACGAGAAGCUUGCUUCUCUGAUGUUAGCGGCGGACGGGUGAGUAACACGUGGAUAACCUACCUAUAAGACUGGGAUAACUUCGGGAAACCGGAGCUAAUACCGGAUAAUAUUAUGAACCGCAUGGUUCAAAAGUGAAAGACGGUCUUGCUGUCACUUAUAGAUGGAUCCGCGCUGCAUUAGCUAGUUGGUAAGGUAACGGCUUACCAAGGCAACGAUGCAUAGCCGACCUGAGAGGGUGAUCGGCCACACUGGAACUGAGACACGGUCCAGACUCCUACGGGAGGCAGCAGUAGGGAAUCUUCCGCAAUGGGCGAAAGCCUGACGGAGCAACGCCGCGUGAGUGAUGAAGGUCUUCGGAUCGUAAAACUCUGUUAUUAGGGAAGAACAUAUGUGUAAGUAACUGUGCACAUCUUGACGGUACCUAAUCAGAAAGCCACGGCGAACUACGU